GGUCGCCGCGUGCCGGCCGG
rnacentral:siRNA from 1 species